GUCCCUGUAGCACAAUGGAUAGUGCAUUAGACAUUGAAUCCAAAGGUAGUGGGUUCAAAUCCUACCUGGGAUG